rnacentral:rRNA from 1 species
UACGAAGGGGGCUAGCGUUGUUCGGAAUUACUGGGCGUAAAGCGUGCGCAGGCGGCUUCUCAAGUCAGGGGUGAAAGCCCAGAGCUCAACUCUGGAAUUGCCUUUGAGACUGAGAGGCUUGAGUACGGGAGAGGUGAGUGGAAUUCCCAGUGUAGAGGUGAAAUUCGUAGAUAUUGGGAAGAACACCAGUGGCGAAGGCGGCUCACUGGACCGUAACUGACGCUCAUGCACGACAGCGUGGGGAUCAAACAGG